GCCCGGGUGGUGGAAUCAGGCAGACACAAGGGACUUAAAAUCCCUCGGAGGCAACUUCGUGCGGGUUCAAUUCCCGCCUCGGGCACCA
rnacentral:tRNA from 1 species